AUACGUAGGUGGCAAGCGUUAUCCGGAUUUACUGGGCGUAAAGGGCGUGUAGGCGGUCUUGCAAGUCAGAAGUGAAAUUCCUGAGCUCAACUCGGGCGCUGCUUCUGAAACUGCAGGACUUGAGUGCUGGAGGGGAUAGCGGAAUUCCUAGUGGAGCGGUAAAAUGCGCAGAUAUUAGGAAGAACACCGGUGGCGAAGGCGGCUAUCUGGACAGUAACUGACACUGAGGCGCGAAAGCGUGGGGAGCAAACAGUAUUAGAUGCCCUGGUAGUCCACGCCGUAAACGAUGAAUACUAGGUGUAGGGGGUAUCGACUCCCUCUGUGCCGCAGUUAACACAAUAAGUAUUCCGCCUGGGGAGUACGGCCGCAAGGUUGAAACUCAAAGUAAUUGACGGGG
rnacentral:rRNA from 1 species